rnacentral:rRNA from 1 species
AGUGAACGCUGGCGGUAGGCCUAACACAUGCAAGUCGAACGGCAGCACAGUAAGAGCUUGCUCUUACGGGUGGCGAGUGGCGGACGGGUGAGGAAUACAUCGGAAUCUACUUUUUCGUGGGGGAUAACGUAGGGAAACUUACGCUAAUACCGCAUACGACCUACGGGUGAAAGCAGGGGAUCUUCGGACCUUGCGCGAUUGAAUGAGCCGAUGUCGGAUUAGCUAGUUGGCGGGGUAAAGGCCCACCAAGGCGACGAUCCGUAGCUGGUCUGAGAGGAUGAUCAGCCACACUGGAACUGAGACACGGUCCAGACUCCUACGGGAGGUAGCAGUGGGGAAUAUUGGACAAUGGGCGCAAGCAUGAUCCAGCCAUACCGCGUGGGUGAAGAAGGCCUUCGGGUUGUAAAGCCCUUUUGUUGGGAAAGAAAAGCAGCAGGUUAAUACCCCGCUGUUCUGACGGUACCCAAAGAAUAAGCACCGGCUAACUUCGUG